UCUUCCCCUACUGCCUUCUAUUCACCUUUUGCAACCAUUACAAAAGAUGAAGAAAAGGUACUAAAGGCAAAGAUGGCGGUCAUCAUCGAGCGAUACAAGGGAAAAGUAUCUACUCUUCCCAAGAAUGUUGCUAAUCUAUGUCGAUACGAGGGUUGCUGGUAUAAGCAAGGAUUUUGGUAUCAAUCAAAGGCCGACUUCUCGGUUGAAGCGAUAAUGGCCGCGCAGGAUGAUUUCCAAGCUCUACCCACCGAUAUCUUAUACCGUUAAGUAUUUUGAAAUACUCCGGGGGCAUUUUGGUCAUUUUAUUAUAACACAUUAUUAAUUAAAAUUAUAAAAUUAAUUAAUCUCUUUGACAAGAAGCACUGACUCAUCCCCAAACCCAAACCCUAAUUCAUCCUCUUCUUCAAACCCCAUUCUCCUAAAACCAUCAUCUUCUUCAAACUCCAUUAUCCUGCAAGUGAAGAUCGAGAAUUGUGGUAUGCACAUGUGGUGUGGAGCCCCAACUCAACUGAGAACAAAAGCAACAGAAAGACUGUGUGCGUUACUAGAGCUUCUGGGUGCAUAGCUUCAUGGCUGGUUAAGCGAUUUGAUUGAAUUGGUUGGUGAUUUUUGCAGAGGACCCUAAGAAAACAGAGCACUUGCUUAAGCUUGAGGGGGCUAAGGAAAGGCUUCAGUUGUUUGAAGCGAACCUGCUGGAAGAUGGCUCCUUUGAUGUUGUAGUUGAAGGUUGUGACGGUGUUUUCCAUACGGCAUCUCCUUUUACCAUAACGUCACCGAUCCACAGGUUGGUUUGAAAUGAAAUGAAAUCUCACUCUUGGAAACCCCCCAAACUAAUUAAUUAGUCUUUAGGUGUUUUCCAAUUGGCAACAGAAUUCCACACAACAACAACAACAAAUCUUCGAAUCAAAAGAAACAGAGACACAAUCAGAACUCAAUGAAGCCGGAGACCUCCAAUCAACGCCGUGGCUCCACCGCGAGCGAACGGAGAGGAAUGCGGCCGACGACUGGCGACGGUGACGGAGAUGACUGCGGUGGAGGAGAUUUAGCGAAAAUGAUGAGAGUGAGGGGACGAACAGUUGUAUGAGAUGAAAUAGAGAGGUUUGAUUGUGUGAAAGGGGUGUGGUUUGCUAAUAAAUUAUUGUUGAAAUUACUGCAGGAGUUGGAAACCAGUUUGAGGUAUGAAGAGGAACCCAUAACUGCUUCCAUUUGUUGUUCAGUGUAGGUGAAGGUAUAGAGAUAAAAGGGGGAUUGGAGGUCUCCCUGCAAGUGAAGAUCGAUAAUGGUUUGGAGGGUUUGGGGGAAGAUGAUGUACGAACGGUCAAAAAAGGGAUUAUUUAGUUUUAUAAUUUUAAUUGUUAAUGUGUUAUAAUAAAAUGACUAUUUUGCCCCUGAGGAAAAGGACAAAUAUCAGGAUUUAAUUUGAGAAA